rnacentral:rRNA from 1 species
AUACGUAGGGUGCAAGCGUUAAUCGGAAUUACUGGGCGUAAAGCGUGCGCAGGCGGUUAUGUAAGACAGAGGUGAAAUCCCCGGGCUCAACCUGGGAACUGCCUUUGUGACUGCAUAGCUAGAGUACGGUAGAGGUGGAUGGAAUUCCGCGUGUAGCAGUGAAAUGCGUAGAUAUGCGGAGGAACACCGAUGGCGAAGGCAAUCCCCUGGACCUGUACUGACGCUCAUGCACGAAAGCGUGGGGAGCAAACAGGAUUAGAUACCCUGGUAGUCCACGCCCUAAACGAUGUCAACUGGUUGUUGGGUCUUCACUGACUCAGUAACGAAGCUAACGCGUGAAGUUGACCGCCUGGGGAGUACGGCCGCAAGGUUAAAACUCAAAUGAAUUGACGGGG